GGAACCGGCUUCUCCGGAUCCGAAGACCCGACCCGGCUUUCGGCCAAGGCGCUGACGUAGGUGUAGGCCGGAAUCAAUAGCGGCGAAGCGAGGAGGAGAAGGAGAGUGGCGGAGAAGACAUAAGAGAAGAUGGUGGAGGGGUCGGGGAUGAAGUCGUAGGCGAGGAGGUAGAGGGCGACGAAGACUGCGAGGCCGUUGAAGAACCAGAAGUAUCGAGACUCCUGCUUGUCCUCGGCGGCGGAAGACGACGGGGCGAUUUCACGGAGGAAGAUCAUGGCGGUGAGGCAGACGGCGAAGGGAGUGACGGCGAGCAUGAGUAUGAAGCUGGCGGAGUUGUUGUUGAACAUAGCCGCGCAAAGGUCGGUGAAUAUGGCGGUGCUCAGGCCAACGUAGCCUUUGAGAAUGCCGGAGACCGGUCCCCGGUUGCUCCGGAAGUUCCGAAUACA
rnacentral:lncRNA from 1 species